CUGUAUAUUGUUACAUUUUAUGCAAAGCAACAUACAGGGUCUUUUCGCGUAAUGAAAAGCCUGAUAUCUUGCAUAAAAUUGUAUAAUUUUAUUCAAAAAGUUACAGAAUAUAAAUACUUAGGAUGCUAAAAUAUGUUCUCAGAAUUGUACACUGAUUAUUUAUGAACAGGUUAUGGAGCAAGUCACCGCAUUUUUUGGCUAUAAGUGAAACACAGGGCGGCGGUCUGAAGUUAGCAGUUUCCCCGCUGAACACGAGCCAUCUCCGGCACAAGAUCCAGUGCCGUUACAGUGAAAACAGUACAACAGAGACUGCUUAAAAUACAAGAAAAGGCUGCCGGCAACAGACAUGUUCACAGCGAACAGGAAGCUGCAAAUUUGUGUGUACUCUUGGGAUGAACUCAUUAGCGGUUUGUGUCAUAUCUGACACCUUCGCAAUAUUUGCUGAGAGCUCAGAUUCUCAGUGAUUUCCACAUGUUUUUGACCCGAUGAAGCCUGAGGUAGCAUCAUUCCUGCGUAAGGCGGAAGGGAGGGAAGGUUGGUCGCCACCAGCUUGAGAUCCACGCUGCCAUCCAGAAGGGCACUUUCGACAGGCCGGUAUUUCCCUGUGACAGGUGACGGAGUGCAUGAUCUGACUGUGCCACAUUGAGCCUGGACGUGAGAUCAGGGACUUGCUGCAGGCAUGAUCUCGGAUAAAUCCACUUAUGCGGAGAUAAGGCCUGACCGUGGAGCUAUACUCCUGGUUAAAUCAUUAGGCUUCAAUGUGUCAGUCAUUCUCCAUGAACUCUCUGGGCCCUGCAACCUGAGCUACUUCAUACACAAAUUCUUCCAGAGACACUUCAAUACACCCCCACGAUCAGGAAGACACAUAUACCACAGGGAGGGAGAGGCAGACAUGUACAUAAAACUCAGUGGGAAACAGGCUGUAAAACCACCACUUUAAUCUCAAGUCAAUGUUAGAAGCACAAGGCCUGCGGGUGAUAAUGUGUUAUCGACCAAAUGUGAUCUGCCCUUCAACCCAACCACAAGUAACUGGGUGUAAAGAGAGAAGAGGAAAAAUCAAUACACCCCCUCUUAAAUUCCUUUAUUAUAAGAAACUGUUAAAGAAGGAAAGAUACAGAUGUCCCCGAGUGUUUAUAACAGAUUUGUGUUGCAUUUAAAAACAUCUUUUUGAAACAACAUUAAAAUUCAGUAUGCUUCACUUGUAUGUUUCUAUCUGUUAACUUUAUUCUUGAGGCACAGUGUUGAAAACA